CGAAUGCUGACAUAAGUAACGAUAAAGCGGGUGAAAAGCCCGCUCGCCGGAAGACCAAGGGUUCCUGUCCAACGUUAAUCGGGGCAGGGUGAGUCGACCCCUAAGGCGAGGCCGAAAGGCGUAGUCGAUGGGAAACAGGUUAAUAUUCCUGUACUUGGUGUUACUGCGAAGGGGGGACGGAGAAGGCUAUGUUGGCCGGGCGACGGUUGUCCCGGUUUAAGCGUGUAGGCUGGUUUUCCAGGCAAAUCCGGAAAAUCAAGGCUGAGGCGUGAUGACGAGGCACUACGGUGCUGAAGCAACAAAUGCCCUGCUUCCAGGAAAAGCCUCUAAGCAUCAGGUAACAUUAAAUCGUACCCCAAACCGACACAGGUGGUCAGGUAGAGAAUACCAAGGCGCUUGAGAGAACUCGGGUGAAGGAACUAGGCAAAAUGGUGCCGUAACUUCGGGAGAAGGCACGCUGAUAUGUAGGUGAAGUCCCUCGCGGAUGGAGCUGAAAUCAGUCGAAGAUACCAGCUGGCUGCAACUGUUUAUUAAAAACACAGCACUGUGCAAACACGAAAGUGGACGUAUACGGUGUGACGCCUGCCCGGUGCCGGAAGGUUAAUUGAUGGGGUUAGCGGUAACGCGAAGCUCUUGAUCGAAGCCCCGGUAAACGGCGGCCGUAACUAUAACGGUCCUAAGGUAGCGAAAUUCCUUGUCGGGUAAGUUCCGACCUGCACGAAUGGCGUAAUGAUGGCCAGGCUGUCUCCACCCGAGACUCAGUGAAAUUGAACUCGCUGUGAAGAUGCAGUGUACCCGCGGCAAGACGGAAAGACCCCGUGAACCUUUACUAUAGCUUGACACUGAACAUUGAGCCUUGAUGUGUAGGAUAGGUGGGAGGCUUUGAAGUGUGGACGCCAGUCUGCAUGGAGCCGACCUUGAAAUACCACCCUUUAAUGUUUGAUGUUCUAACGUUGACCCGUAAUCCGGGUUGCGGACAGUGUCUGGUGGGUAGUUUGACUGGGGCGGUCUCCUCCUAAAGAGUAACGGAGGAGCACGAAGGUUGGCUAAUCCUGGUCGGACAUCAGGAGGUUAGUGCAAUGGCAUAAGCCAGCUUGACUGCGAGCGUGACGGCGCGAGCAGGUGCGAAAGCAGGUCAUAGUGAUCCGGUGGUUCUGAAUGGAAGGGCCAUCGCUCAACGGAUAAAAGGUACUCCGGGGAUAACAGGCUGAUACCGCCCAAGAGUUCAUAUCGACGGCGGUGUUUGGCACCUCGAUGUCGGCUCAUCACAUCCUGGGGCUGAAGUAGGUCCCAAGGGUAUGGCUGUUCGCCAUUUAAAGUGGUACGCGAGCUGGGUUUAGAACGUCGUGAGACAGUUCGGUCCCUAUCUGCCGUGGGCGCUGGAGAACUGAGGGGGGCUGCUCCUAGUACGAGAGGACCGGAGUGGACGCAUCACUGGUGUUCGGGUUGUCAUGCCAAUGGCACUGCCCGGUAGCUAAAUGCGGAAGAGAUAAGUGCUGAAAGCAUCUAAGCACGAAACUUGCCCCGAGAUGAGUUCUCCCUGACUCCUUGAGAGUCCUGAAGGAACGUUGAAGACGACGACGUUGAUAGGCCGGGUGUGUAAGCGCAGCGAUGCGUUGAGCUAACCGGUACUAAUGAACCGUGAGG
rnacentral:rRNA from 1 species